AAACCAACCGGGAUUGCCUUAGUAACGGCGAGUGAAGCGGCAAAAAGCUCAAAUUUGAAAUCUGGUACCUUCGGUGCCCGAGUUGUAAUUUGGAGAGGGCAACUUUGGGGCCGUUCCUUGUCUAUGUUCCUUGGAACAGGACGUCAUAGAGGGUGAGAAUCCCGUGUGGCGAGGAGUGCGGUUCUUUGUAAAGUGCCUUCGAAGAGUCGAGUUGUUUGGGAAUGCAGCUCUAAGUGGGUGGUAAAUUCCAUCUAAAGCUAAAUAUUGGCGAGAGACCGAUAGCGAACAAGUACAGUGAUGGAAGGAUGAAAAGAACUUUGAAAAGAGAGUGAAAAAGUACGUGAAAUUGUUGAAAGGGAAGGGCAUUUGAUCAGACAUGGUGUUUUGUGCCCUCUGCUCCUUGUGGGUAGGGGAAUCUCGCAUUUCACUGGGCCAGCAUCAGUUUGGUGGCAGGAUAAAUCCAUAGGAAUGUAGCUUGCCUCGGUAAGUAUUAUAGCCUGUGGGAAUACUGCC
rnacentral:rRNA from 1 species